rnacentral:rRNA from 1 species
UAGGGAAUCUUCGGCAAUGGACGAAAGUCUGACCGAGCAACGCCGCGUGAGUGAAGAAGGUUUUCGGAUCGUAAAACUCUGUUGUUAGAGAAGAACAAGGACGUUAGUAACUGAACGUCCCCUGACGGUAUCUAACCAGAAAGCCACGGCUAACUACGUGCCAGCAGCCGCGGUAAUACGCAGGUGGCAAGCGUUGUCCGGAUUUAUUGGGCGUAAAGCGAGCGCAGGCGGUUUCUUAAGUCUGAUGUGAAAGCCCCCGGCUCAACCGGGGAGGGUCAUUGGAAACUGGGAGACUUGAGUGCAGAAGAGGAGAGUGGAAUUCCAUGUGUAGCGGUGAAAUGCGUAGAAAUAUGGAGGAACACCAGUGGCGAAGGCGGCUCUCUGGUCUGUAACUGACGCUGAGGCUCGAAAGCGUGGGGAGCAAACAGG